AUUGAACGCUGGCGGCAUGCCUUACACAUGCAAGUCGAACGGCAGCACGGGUGCUUGCACCUGGUGGCGAGUGGCGAACGGGUGAGUAAUACAUCGGAACGUACCUUAUCGUGGGGGAUAACGCAGCGAAAGCUGUGCUAAUACCGCAUACGCCCUGAGGGGGAAAGCGGGGGAUCGCAAGACCUCGCGCGAUUAGAGCGGCCGAUGCCUGAUUAGCUAGUUGGUGGGGUAAAAGCCCACCAAGGCGACGAUCAGUAGCUGGUCUGAGAGGACGAUCAGCCACACUGGGACUGAGACACGGCCCAGACUCCUACGGGAGGCAGCAGUGGGGAAUUUUGGACAAUGGGGGCAACCCUGAUCCAGCAAUGCCGCGUGAGUGAAGAAGGCCGUCGGGUUGUAAAGUUCUUUUGUCAGGGAAGAAACACCGGCUCUAACACAGUCCGGGAAUGACGGUACCUGAAGAAUAAGCACCGGCUAACUACGUGCCAGCAGCCGCCGUAA
rnacentral:rRNA from 1 species